rnacentral:rRNA from 1 species
AGCGAACGCUGGCGGCAGGCCUAACACAUGCAAGUCGAACGAACCUUUCGGGGUUAGUGGCGGACGGGUGAGUAACACGUGGGAACGUGCCUUUAGGUUCGGAAUAACUCAGGGAAACUUGUGCUAAUACCGAAUGUGCCCUUCGGGGGAAAGAUUUAUCGCCUUUAGAGCGGCCCGCGUCUGAUUAGCUAGUUGGUUGAGGUAAUGGCUCACCAAGGCGACGAUCAGUAGCUGGUCUGAGAGGAUGAUCAGCCACAUUGGGACUGAGACACGGCCCAAACUCCUACGGGAGGCAGCAGUGGGGAAUCUUGCGCAAUGGGCGAAAGCCUGACGCAGCCAUGCCGCGUGAAUGAUGAAGGUCUUAGGAUUGUAAAAUUCUUUCACCGGGGACGAUAAUGACGGUACCCGGAGAAGAAGCCCCGGCUACCUUCGU